CACAAAAGCUUGCGAAAACAUUGGUUUAAUUAGGAGGAAUGUAUUGCCAAACUCCAAACACACACAGCUUAAGAGAGAGAAAGAGAGCUGUUAGAAGUUAAUCAACAUUAGCCUUAAUGAUAAGGCCUCAGAGAAAAUGUACAGACACACAGCGCCGCACAAAACUACAUUGUUUGUGUUGGGUUUCCAAGAAAUUAUCCUUAUUUCGCCUCAGAAAUAGAAAAAGAAGAAGAAAAACACAUCAUCGUCUGUCUGUUUCUCCGUUCUCUCCCACUGCUUGUCAGAAGAAAGGACAAAAAGGAGGGGAGCGCGAGGCGGCGAAUCGGUCAGCAGACACGCGAUUCCCGCGCUUCCAGCAGCUCGCGCUGUGCAGAUAACGUGGGAAUGUCAACGGUUUGACAGGCUUUCGACGCUUUACUCCCUUUCAUCUCCGCCGUUGACAGCGCGGUUUAAAGCUCUUUUUGUACUUAUAUCUAAAUUUGUGUUUUUGGAAUGAGAAACCACUGAGCGGAAACGCAUGUUUCAUGGGCGCGUGAGGGAGGGAGCGGAUGAAAAGCUGUUUUACUGCACAAGCCUCCCUGUGAUCUGAGGCCGCUGUAACCUCAUUUAGACUUAUUGCCUCAACAAAAGCAGUAGGAUUGUAUAUCUGGGAGGAAAUUGCACCCUUGUGUGUUUGCAGAUUGUCUAUUUAUGGAAGGUCAUUAGCCAUCAGUGACUUUUCACAGACACCGCGGCUGCAGGGCAUACUCCGGUGCACAUGAAACCCUGCAAGAGGAACGGGAAAAGCUAAGAGUGUCUCUGUGGAGAGAGCAGAACAGCUCGAAGGGGGCUACAAAAGCACCAGGCUGCCCAGGCGUCUUUAUCUCUCCGGAUGGACUUGCACUCCAAGGUGCUUUUUCCUAGCAAAGGAAUUUUGCAUGAUGCCUUGAAAACAGCAGUAACAUCAGCCGUCGUAUCAGCACGAUCAGAAGAGAAUAAAUGGUGCUGUCAGUGUCCACACAGAGGAAACCGCAAGAUGAUUUCAUACAAGCAACUUACAACUGAGGAACAUCGCGAGAAAUUUAUCAUUAAAGUCAAAAUGGACCCAGCCAACAUUAUCUUAGCUUCCCACAAACCUUGGCAUGGCCGUGUCUCAUACAUCUGGCUGGGACAGGAGUCCUGGUUCUCCGGGACUUGCGCGACAACGGCUCUAGAACGAGCCUGUCGUCCCCAUGUCUCAAAAC